GGCGGCGUGAUUCAGAAUAAAGUCGAUCCGCAAACUGGAGAAGUGGUGGAUCAGGGAACGUUAGAUCAUUUGACCG
rnacentral:tRNA from 1 species